rnacentral:rRNA from 1 species
AGAGUUUGAUCCUGGCUCAGGACGAACGCUGGCGGCGUGCUUAACACAUGCAAGUCGAACGAUGAAGCCAGCUUGCUGGUGGAUUAGUGGCGAACGGGUGAGUAACACGUGGGUGAUCUGCCCUGUACUUUGGGAUAAGCCUGGGAAACUGGGUCUAAUACCGAAUAUUACCUUCUCCUGCAUGGGGGUUGGUGGAAAGCUCCGGCGGUAUGGGAUGGGCCCGCGGCCUAUCAGCUUGUUGGUGGGGUAAUGGCCUACCAAGGCGACGACGGGUAGCCGGCCUGAGAGGGCGACCGGCCACACUGGGACUGAGACACGGCCCAGACUCCUACGGGAGGCAGCAGUGGGGAAUAUUGCACAAUGGGCGCAAGCCUGAUGCAGCGACGCCGCGUGAGGGAUGACGGCCUUCGGGUUGUAAACCUCUUUCACCAGGGACGAAGCGUGAGUGACGGUACCUGGAGAAGAAGCACCGGCCAACUACGUGCCAGCAGCCGCGGUAAUACGUAGGGUGCGAGCGUUGUCCGGAAUUACUGGGCGUAAAGAGCUCGUAGGCGGUUUGUCGCGUCGUUCGUGAAAACUUGGGGCUUAACUCCAAGCGUGCGGGCGAUACGGGCAGACUUGAGUACUACAGGGGAGACUGGAAUUCCUGGUGUAGCGGUGAAAUGCGCAGAUAUCAGGAGGAACACCGGUGGCGAAGGCGGGUCUCUGGGUAGUAACUGACGCUGAGGAGCGAAAGCGUGGGUAGCGAACAGGAUUAGAUACCCUAGUAGUCC